UACAGAGGUCUCAAGCGUUGUUCGGAUUCAUUGGGCGUAAAGGGCUCGUAGGCGGUCCAUCGCGUCGGGAGUGAAAAGCUGGGGCUUAACCCCAGUCCUGCUUCCGAUACGGGUGGACUAGAGGUAGGUAGGGGAGAUCGGAAUUCCUGGUGUAGCGGUGAAAUGCGCAGAUAUCAGGAGGAACACCGAUGGCGAAGGCAGGUCUCUGGGCAAUAACUGACGUGAGGAGCGAAAGCAUGGGGAGCGAACAGG
rnacentral:rRNA from 1 species